UGGUUGUUGCAACGCAGGCAC
rnacentral:siRNA from 1 species